rnacentral:lncRNA from 1 species
GGUCUCUUUGUGCACCCGCCCACACGGUUUGCCGUGUUUUCACCCUUCUUUGUUCUCCACCGGUCUGGGCAGGGUCUGAGGACUCCGGAGAGCAAGGCAUGGGUCCGCCUCGUGCCGCAGGUAUCCUGGGGUCCUGUGGGGAGGGCUCUGCGGUGUGGGGCCGGGUAUGAUGACCCACAUUUACAGACUAGAGUUUCUGAUGUCCACGUGACGCCACUCCUUGUAACUGACCCAGGCCGGGGUGGGGGCUGCAGGCCGGGGUCUCUACGACCUGUGCUCAUUCAAUGAUCUCUUCCAGGUUCCUGGCCCACGCCAGCCGUACCCAGUAGCACAAUGGUAAGCGCAUGCUGGCGAGAGGUAGGCGGUGUGAGGAGGGGCUGGUUUCGGGGAGAGGACAGUAAUGAUGAUUUCUGGUGAUUCUGAGUGUCUCGCUGACGCCAUCACCGCAGCGCGCUGACCGUCCCCGGGUCCAAAAUCGGCAGUGGCGUGGGUUUUGAGUGGCCUAGAGUUCUGAGUAAUUUACCUCUGUGUCUUGCUUUCUGGUAGGGAUUUGAGGACACACGCCAGCUGCCUACACCUGAAGAAAGGUUAGUCUUAGGUUUCACUGGCAUGCUUGUCUCUUGGCUUGACUUUUUGGAAGGGGUGGAUUCGAGACAGGGUUUCUCCAUGUAGCCCUGAUCUCAGAUCCGCCUGCCUCUACUCUCUGGAAUUAAAUGCAUACAGCACCACCGACUGGCCCUUGUUUUGUUCUUAAUAUCCUGCCUGCAUUAGCCAGUCUCCAAGCAAGCUACCACCCAGCCAUCUUUUUGUUUUUAGAUCUUAACUAAUCUCCCUAACUCUAAAUCUAUGGUGGAUCCAGGAGCUGCCUUGAUUAUUUCUUGUGCCUUUAAGUUCUGUAUGCUAGUCCACGGCAGUGGGUCUCAGCCUUCCUGAGGGCCUUUAAUGCAGUUCCUCGGGCUGUGAUGUUCCUAACCAUCGGUUUUAUUUUCCUUGUAUCUUCAUAACUAAAGUUUGCUAUUGUGAUAACACAGGCUGUCCUGUCUGGGACCCCUAUGUAAGGGUUCCUUGGUGACACAGGUUGAGAGCCACUGUUUUAGACUAUGCUUUUGGGUAUUUAGACGGGCUCUCAAUUCAGGAUGGCCUUAGUCCUGGCUCCAACCACCUUUUUUUUUUUUUUUUUAAGAUUUAGAUGUUUGUGAGUACACUAUUGCUGUCUUCAGACACACCAGAAGAGGGCGUCAGAUCCCAUUACACAUGGUUAUGAGCCAUCUCUCCGGCCCAUGCCACCUUUUUUCGUUAAAGGUUUUAGCAGUUAAAUUUCAGUCCCCAGGAGUUUUGGCUUUAUAUAGCUCUGCAACAGUCCGAAGCCUAACUACACACACUGGCUACCGCAUCCUGUGUCUAUCGGAUUGACAUUCCCUGGGUGGUACCCUAGGUUCUGGUCUCCCUCAAUUGAGAGUGAUGAUUUCACAGACUAGAGUCUCUGACGCUGUCCUUGAUGUCAGCUAUAAAUCUGACUCAUUUGGGGAACCUCUUGAGAUUGAGCCCAGUGUGCCAACACUGGCUCUGGUGAGGAACAUACCCUGCUCUCCUGUUUCUCAUUGUGCCCAUCUUAACUCUCCAGGGUGAGCUCUGAGGACUUCACAGGGGCCCCAUCCCCUCACCUAGAUGAGGGCUAACCUUGGAAUCCAGACAAAGGUGGAAGUGACCUAGAUGUGACCUGAAUGAGCUAAUCAUCUAAUGAGAGCCAGCCCUUUGUCCUGCCCACAUGAAGGUGGGUGGUUAGCUCACUUUUCAGGGUAAUAAAGCAGUAAAGGCGGGGUGGAGGGGUUGUUGAAGGCUUUGUAUGAUGUCACUAGGGCCUGUAAAGUUAGCACAAUGAACCCGCUGUGCAGAUUGUAAAGCUGACCUUGUUGGAAUAUCCUGGUUUUAGAAACACAUAAAUCAGCUUUGUGUUUGCUGUUCCCCUGCUGAAAAUGUUCUUCUGAAUUUUCAGGGCUUUGCUGCUACGCACUGACAAGUUGGACGGCUUUUUAUUGCUUUGUUGCCAGUUAUCUGAACAUGAGAGGCUGUAAGGUGUAAUCUGCGAGCCCUGCGCCCAGACUGAACCAGGGCCUCCCUUGAACAUGAGUAUUAGACAAAUGAAAUAAGAACUUAUCUUGCCCAGACUAUAUAAUGGCUUGGAAAUGCAUAGUUUCCUGAACGAUCUCAAUAAAAUACUUUUAAAAGUACUUAAAUAGA